rnacentral:rRNA from 1 species
GGUUAAACGACUUCGCCCUUAGAGUUUGAUUAUGGCUCAGGAUGAACGCUAGCGACAGGCCUAACACAUGCAAGUCGAGGGGCAUCGGGACGUAGCAAUACGUUGCCGGCGACCGGCGGAUGGGUGAGUAACGCGUAUGCAACCUACCCGUAGCAGGGGGAUAGCCCGUUGAAAGACGGAUUAAUACCCCGUAACACAGGGGCUCCGCAUGGAGAUUAUUGUUAAAGGGUCAUUUCUUUUUCAGGGAUGGUCCGGCUGCGGAUGGGCAUGCGUUCCAUUAGGUAGUUGGUGUAGGUAACGGCUCACCAAGCCGACGAUGGAUAGGGGAACUGAGAGGUUGGUCCCCCACACUGGUACUGAGACACGGACCAGACUCCUACGGGAGGCAGCAGUGAGGAAUUUUGGUCAAUGGACGCAAGUCUGAACCAGCCAUGUCGCGUGAAGGAGGACGGCCCUAAGGGUUGUAAACUUCUUUUGCAGUGGAAUAAAGUUUGCCACGUGUUGGCGAUUUGCAAGUACGCUGCGAAUAAGGAUCGGCUAACUCCGUGCCAGCAGCCGCGGUAAUACGGAGGAUCCAGGCGUUAUCCGGAUUUAUUGGGUUUAAAGGGUGCGCAGGCGGGGAAUUAGGUCGGCGGUGAAAUUUCGGGGCUCAACCUCGACAGUGCCGUUGAAACCGUUUCUCUUGAGUGCGGAUGAGGUAGGCGGAAUUUGUGGUGUAGCGGUGAAAUGCGUAGAUAUCACAAGGAACACCGAUUGCGGAGGCAGCUUACUAAACCGUUACUGACGCUCAUGCACGAAGGCGUGGGGAUCAAACAGGAUUAGAUACCCUGGUAGUCCACGCAGUAAACGAUGAUUACUUGCUGUUUGCGAUACACAGUAAGCGGCGUAGCGAAAGCGUUAAGUAAUCCACCUGGGGAGUACGUUCGCAAGAAUGAAACUCAAAUGAAUUGACGGAAGGCGAAUUCGCG